AGCGAUGGUUUUGUUGAGCCUUGAACACCUCCCCGCUCCCCCAUGUUUUAAUGUUGUUUGUCAAAUUAUAACCCAGACACGAGGGAUCUCAAGGACACGUGGACUUGAAUUUAAUCGAAGAGGCUGAGAGUGGGGUGGAAGAGUGACACACGGAGGAGAGAAGUUCAUUAUUCCGCUGAAAAGGAAACCAAUGGCUUUCACGGUCGCCAGGGAAACCGGCCUUUCUUUUGCCGCCAGACCUAUGAUAAGUCUUGCUUCUGGGCCUGCUGACAGCCGGCUAUUGAAGGUGGGACCAGCAGAGGAACUGAAAGACAGAAGCAGCAGCAGCAGCCUUGGGACCAGUGAGAGCUCGGUUGGAGUGAUAGCUCCUUCUGUUGAUGACUGAACCGCCAGUACUUCAGAUGGACCAACAGUUGGAGACAAUGACCUGCUUUUCCCAGGCAUUAGGUUUACGAAGGAAGAGGAAGAUGGAGGGAGAGGACGUCUUGGAGCCAGUCAUCCACCUGCAGUAGCUUACGACACUGACUGCACAGCAGGAGGAGACAGUGAUGGUGCUGAACUUCACACCUAACAUUCAGAUUGAAAACAAAACAGGAAGUGAACUGGUGGGGUCCCAGGCAGCCCCCACUCAAUGCCAUGGCAGCAGCAUGGCUUUCACUGGGCCUCGCGCUGCUGCCUUUACGAGAGCCAGGCAGACGGAUCCCCUUCACGCCGUAAAGCCAUCAACAAGGGGAACAAAGAGGGCAGGUGCUGAGGACUGCAUUGAGUGCUCACCUGCACCCAGCAGGGGAAUAUAGUGAGUCCAGCCAUGCCAAGAGGCCCUCCACAUUCACAUCCCCACUCACCAGGCACUAAUGGGCUAAGAUGGCAAGCCAAAGAGAAAUUAUUUCUCUUUAUUAUAGACUGAAACAAAUCAUCAGCUGAUGGUGUUGAAUAUGACAGUACAUGUACCAUAUGCACUGUUUAGUUCAACCAAACGUGGCUUCUGCGAUAUCUAAAGCAGGCUGUGACAGAAUGCUGUUAACUGGGUAUUUAUCAACAUUUAAUUGGAAACAGAAGUGAGUAUGAGGGAGCUGACCCUUGGAUCUGCUUUUCAGAUUUGUAUGUACUGAAUUGAAUUUUAAAUAGAAAGAUUUGUUACUGGCUUACUGACGUCCUUAUACCCCUGCAGUAUUUUACAUUUGAUCACAUUGCGACCUCAAAGAAUAUAUUUGAUUGAAAUCUUGUGUCCAGGCCAACACAAGGAAGCACAAAGUUGGAAAGUGGAAGGAAAAUAUUUUUUUCUAUUGCAGACUUUUAUUUUGAAGCCUGCAUUUUUUUCUUGUUUUCUGUUUGUUGUGUAUUGAUUUGAAUUUUUAUUUUAGUGUUAGUCUUUAGUCUUUAUUUCAGUGGCUCUUCUUGUGUCCUGUGUUUCCAUUAACCAAAUAAAUAUGAAAUUUUCUUAAUGGAAAUAUGUCAAUUUAGAAAAAAGUUAAUAUUUUCAAUAGAAAGUUUUUGCACUCGGAGGAGAUGCUUUUUCAACCGUA